UCUUUAAGAUAUAAUUUAAAGUAAAACCUGCUCAAUGAAUAAUAAAUAGCCGCAGUCAACUGUGCUAAGGUAGCAUAAUCAUUAGCUUUUUAAUUAAAAGAUAGAAUGAAUGGUUACAUGAAAUAUCAACUGUAUCUAUUAUAAAUAAUUAAAUUUUAUUUAAAGUUAAAAUACUUUAAUUUUAAGAAAGACGAUAAGACCCUGAUCAAACUUAUUAGUUUGCUGGGGUGGCAAAUAAAAAAAAUCUUAAUUUUAAUUUUUCUAAAUACCUAUUUUAAAUAAAAUUUAAGUUACUGCAGGGAUAACAGCGCAAUUUUUUUUUAAAGUUCAGAUUUAAAAAAAAGUUUACGACCUCGAUGUUGAAUUAAAUUUCUUUAAUUAGAGCAACUUCUAUAAAAGAUAGUCUGUUCGACUAUUAAACAUUU
rnacentral:rRNA from 1 species